UACAUGAAGCUGGAAUCGCUAGUAAUCGCGAAUCAGAAUGUCGCGGUGAAUACGUUCCCGGGUCUUGUACACACCGCCCGUCACACCAUGGGAGUCAGUAACGCCCGAAGUCAGUGACCCAACCGGAAGGAGGGAGCUGCCGAAGGCGGGACCGGUAACUGGGGUGAAGUCGUAACAAGGUAUC
rnacentral:rRNA from 1 species